GACGAACGCUGGCGGCGUGCUUAACACAUGCAAGUCGAGCGGAAAGGCCCUUCGUGGUACUCGAGCGGCGAACGGGUGAGUCACACGUGAGUAACCUGCCCCCGACUUUGGGAUAACCCUCGGAAACGGGGGCUAAUACCGGAUACGACACAGCUUCUCAUGGGUUCUGUGUGGAAAGUUUUUCGGUUUGGGUUGGGGUCGCGGCCUAUCAGCUUGUUUGUGGGGUUUUGGCCUACCAAGGCGACGACGGGUAGCCGGCCUGAGAGGGGGACCGGCCACACUGGGACUGAGACACGGCCCAGACUCCUACGGGAGGCAGCAGUGGGGAAUAUUGCACAAUGGGCGGAAGCAUGAUGCAGCGACGCCGCGUGAGGGAUGACGGCCUUCGGGUUGUAAACCUCUUUCAGCAGGGACGAAGCGUAAGUGACGGUACCUGAAGAAGAAGCGCCGGCCAACUACGUG
rnacentral:rRNA from 1 species